rnacentral:rRNA from 1 species
GAUGAACGCUGGCGGCGUGCCUAAUACAUGCAAGUCGAGCGAACAGACGAGGAGCUUGCUCCUCUGACGUUAGCGGCGGACGGGUGAGUAACACGUGGAUAACCUACCUAUAAGACUGGGAUAACUUCGGGAAACCGGAGCUAAUACCGGAUAAUAUAUUGAACCGCAUGGUUCAAUAGUGAAAGACGGUUUUGCUGUCACUUAUAGAUGGAUCCGCGCCGCAUUAGCUAGUUGGUAAGGUAACGGCUUACCAAGGCAACGAUGCGUAGCCGACCUGAGAGGGUGAUCGGCCACACUGGAACUGAGACACGGUCCAGACUCCUACGGGAGGCAGCAGUAGGGAAUCUUCCGCAAUGGGCGAAAGCCUGACGGAGCAACGCCGCGUGAGUGAUGAAGGUCUUCGGAUCGUAAAACUCUGUUAUUAGGGAAGAACAAAUGUGUAAGUAACUAUGCACGUCUUGACGGUACCUAAUCAGAAAGCCACGGCAACUACGUG